AUCCGGAGGAUCCAAGCGUUAUCCGGAAUCAUUGGGUUUAAAGGGUCCGUAGGUGGACAGAUAAGUCAGAGGUGAAAUCCUGCAGCUCAACUGUAGAAUUGCCUUUGAAACUGUUUGUCUUGAGUCAUUGUGAAGUGGUUAGAAUGUGUAGUGUAGCGGUGAAAUGCAUAGAUAUUACACAGAAUACCGAUUGCGAAGGCAGAUCCCUAAUAAUGUACUGACACUGAUGGACGAAAGCGUGGGUAGCGAACAGGAUUAGAAACCCUAGUAGUCC
rnacentral:rRNA from 1 species